rnacentral:rRNA from 1 species
CCAGACUCCUACGGGAGGCAGCAGUGAGGAAUAUUGGUCAAUGGGCUUACGCCUGAACCAGCCAAGUCGCGUGAGGGAAGACUGCCCUAUGGGUUGUAAACCUCUUUUGUCAGGGAGCAACGCCGGCUACGUGUAGCCGGACUGAGAGUACCUGAAGAAAAAGCAUCGGCUAACUCCGUGCCAGCAGCCGCGGUAAUACGGAGGAUCCGAGCGUUAUCCGGAUUUAUUGGGUUUAAGGGAGCGUAGGCGGGUUGUUAAGUCAGUUGUGAAAGUUUGCGGCUCAACCGUAAAAUUGCAGUUGAUACUGGCAUCCUUGAGUACAGUAGAGGUAGGCGGAAUUCGUGGUGUAGCGGUGAAAUGCUUAGAUAUCACGAAGAACUCCGAUUGCGAAGGCAGCCUGCUGGACUGUAACUGACGCUGAUGCUCGAAAGUGUGGGUAUCAAACAGGAUUAGAUACCCCAGUAAC